rnacentral:rRNA from 1 species
UACGGAGGGUGCAAGCGUUGUCCGGAAUCACUGGGCGUAAAGGGCGCGUAGGCGGCUCGGUAAGUAGGGGGUGAAAUCCUGCGGCUUGACCGCAGGGCUGCCUUCUAAACUGUCGAGCUUGAGCACGGUAGAGGCAGAUGGAAUUCCCGGUGUAGCGGUGGAAUGCGUAGAGAUCGGGAAGAACAUCAGUGGCGAAGGCGGUCUGCUGGGCCGUUGCUGACGCUGAGGCGCGACAGCGUGGGGAGCAAACAGG